GAUAACACAAAUGAUGUCUACCAAACAACAGAAGUUUUCGCAGGUUAUGAGACAUAUCGAUAAACUAGAUACAAUAAUAAUUCAUCAGACACGGAGAACUAAAGAGACAAAGUCAGUAAUUAGUUACACAGUUAUGCGGUCUACAGAAGAAGCCAGAGAUAUCAUAAGUGUGUACUAUGUUGAA